rnacentral:rRNA from 1 species
UACGGAGGAUGCGAGCGUUAUCCGGAUUUAUUGGGUUUAAAGGGUGCGUAGACGGGCUUUUAAGUCAGCGGUAAAAAUUCGGGGCUCAACCCCGUCCGGCCGUUGAAACUGGGGGUCUUGAGUGGGCGAGAAGAAGGCGGAAUGCGUGGUGUAGCGGUGAAAUGCAUAGAUAUCACGCAGAACCCCGAUUGCGAAGGCAGCCUUCCGGCGCCCUACUGACGCUGAGGCACGAAAGUGCGGGGAUCGAACAGG